CGAAAACCGAAAAAAACCGAAAUAAAUUAUAUCGGUUUAGGUUUCGGUUUCACUCACUCUGCUUCAUUAUUAUUGUUAUGGUUUUUUAGGGUUUUUAAAAAACUUAUGAAAUUUCGGUUUUUGUUUUCAGUUAUGGUUUGAAAAUGGCUAAAAUUAGGUUCUUGUUUGGGUUUCAGUUACGGUUUUCGGUUUUUUGAGGUUACAGUUAGCACCCCUGUAAAAAUGACUGCAUACUGUCAAAAAUAUACAGGUGCAUGGGACGUUGUUGGCCCUAGUGGUGAAGAUUCUUCUGUUGACAGCUUAGCUGGAGUUCCAGCGCCAGCAUCCCCAAGAGAUCAUUUUACAGGAAAUGAAAGGGAAUUUGACAUAUAUGACAGCGAAUCAGAAGAUGAGAGUUAAUGAGAUGAUCACUUCCAUGAUGAGAAGGAUCGAUAGAAGCAGGAUGAAGAUAUGCAACCAGUGACAUUAUUUGAAUUCAAAAUGUUAUUUAUAAAAUAAGGCCAUGUAAAUACUAAGUAUCUAUGAUUUUUUCCCAUUUCCUAAUAAUAAUUGACCAUUACAAAAUGGAAUAAUUAGUGUGGUCGUUGUUAUACGCUUUUCAAUUAUGCACUGACUUGUAAGAUAUAGCAUUAAAAAUACAUAAUCUGAUUCAUUGUUACAAAA